UUGCUAAGAAUAGUACAAAUGUGCUCGCUUUGGAUCAGUGAACAGAAGAUUAGCAUGGCCCUUGCCCAAGGAUGACAUGCAAAUUCAUGGAGCAUUCCAUUAAAAA
rnacentral:snRNA from 1 species